GGGUUGUGAGGUUAAGCGACUAAGCGUACACGGUGGAUGCCCUGGCAGUCAGAGGCGAUGAAGGGCGUGCUAAUCUGCGAUAAGCGCCGGUAAGGUGAUAUGAACCGUUAUAACCGGCGAUACCCGAAUGGGGAAACCCAGUGUGACUCGUCACACUAUCAUUAACUGAAUCCAUAGGUUAAUGAGGCGAACCGGGGGAACUGAAACAUCUAAGUACCCCGAGGAAAAGAAAUCAACCGAGAUUCCCCCAGUAGCGGCGAGCGAACGGGGAGGAGCCCAGAGCCUGAAUCAGCAUGUGUGUUAGUGGAAGCGUCUGGAAAGGCGCGCGAUACAGGGUGACAGCCCCGUACACAAAAGCGCAUGUGCUGUGAGCUCGAUGAGUAGGGCGGGACACGUGGUAUCCUGUCUGAAUAUGGGGGGACCAUCCUCCAAGGCUAAAUACUCCUGACUGACCGAUAGUGAACCAGUACCGUGAGGGAAAGGCGAAAAGAACCCCGGCGAGGGGAGUGAAAAAGAACCUGAAACCGUGUACGUACAAGCAGUGGGAGCCCCACCACCAAAGCAUUCUCUGGUGUUGAAGGCCCUGCAAAGCAGCAUCGCGGUGGCGGAGCGUCGUUUGCGACGCCCAACACACAAAACAA
rnacentral:rRNA from 1 species